rnacentral:lncRNA from 1 species
UUGCAAGAUGCCUUUCCAGACUAAAACCCAAACAUGUGAGCUGCUGGCCGGACACAACAAUGACCCACAGGCUGAAAACCACUAAACUAGAAAAACAACCAAAACAGCUUCUGACAUGGACAUUCACAAAUUUUCAAUUGCAAUAUCAGCCACUUCUAAACUACUUGUUUAAGCUGUUGAUUUGGAGAAAAGAAAGAAACAAGAACACAGUAUCACCAUGCAAGAUGAGGAAGAAAGACUAUAAUAGUCAGAGAUCAUCAAGGUCUACUUAGAAACAUUAUCUCCCAGACAUAACAGGCUCAUUACACAUAUGAAAUCACAGAAACUCUGACCAUAUGGAAAAUGACUGCAUUAAGUAAAAUCAGACACAAUCCCAACUUAGACCAGGGAGUAGCUCAUGAAGCUCAAUCCUGGAUGAGAUGCUUCCGGAAACGGCUGACUCCUGGGAAAGAAGAAGAAGAAGUAUUAUUUAGAGAUGCAGCCCCUAGAAGACUACCUAUAUCACAGUAGAUAGUUGUACACCUUUGCAUACCCAGUCAGGAUUAUUUGGCUUUAAAAAGAAAAAAAAAAAAAAAACACAUAAAUUUAAGAAGGAAAAUGUAGGAGGCAUUGAGAAAGAAUUGGAGUGGAAGAAAUAAGGGGCAGCUUUGAUCAAAACAUGUAUACAUGUAUGAAAUUCUCAAGAGAGAGAGAAAGAAAGAAAGAAAGAAAGAAA